CUACGGGCGGCUGCAGUGGGGAAUAUUGCACAAUGGGCGCAAGCCUGAUGCAGCCAUGCCGCGUGUAUGAAGAAGGCCUUCGGGUUGUAAAGUACUUUCAGCGGGGAGGAAGGGAGUAAAGUUAAUACCUUUGCUCAUUGACGUUACCCGCAGAGGAAGCACCGGCUAACUCCGUGCCAGCAGCCGCGGUAAUACGGAGGGCGCAAGCGUUAAUCGGAAUUACUGGGCGUAAAGCGCACGCAGGCGGUUUGUUAAGUCAGAUGUGAAAUCCCCGGGCUCAACCUGGGAACUGCAUCUGAUACUGGCAAGCUUGAGUCUCGUAGAGGGGGGUAGAAUUCCAGGUGUAGCGGUGAAAUGCGUAGAGAUCUGGAGGAAUACCGGUGGCGAAGGCGGCCCCCUGGACGAAGACUGACGCUCAGGUGCGAAAGCGUGGGGAGCAAACAGGAUUAGAUACCCUUGUAGUC
rnacentral:rRNA from 1 species